UAACGAAUAUUCCGCAAUGGGCGAAAGCCUGACGGAGCAAUGCCGCGUGUGGGAUGAAGCGGUUUCGCCGUGUAAACCACUGUCAGAAGAUAGAAAAGAUGAUCAUCUUCAAAGGAAGGGGCGACUAACUCUGUGCCAGCAGUCGCGGUAAUACAGAGGCCCCGAGCGUUAGUCGGAAUCACUGGGCUUAAAGGGUGCGUAGGCGGACUUGUAAGUGCUUUGUGAAAGCCCUGGGCUCAACCCAGGAACC
rnacentral:rRNA from 1 species